GACGAGCCACACAAACGUUAUUCGGAAUUACUGGGCUUAAAGGGUGCGUAGGCGGUAUGGCAAGUCGGGAGUGAAAUACCCCAGCUCAACUGAGGAACUGCUCUCGAUACUGCCGUGCUUGAGUGAGACAGAGGUAAGCGGAACUUAGGGUGGAGCGGUGAAAUGCGUUGAUAUCCUAAGGAACACCGGUGGCGAAGGCGGCUUACUGGGUCUCAACUGACGCUGAGGCACGAAAGCUAGGGUAGCAAACGGG
rnacentral:rRNA from 1 species